GAUAAACAUGGCAACCUUGAAAAAAAAAAUGGUAGAAAGUUGAAAGGACUUUGACGUAUUUCGAUGAAUUUCAAGCAGUCGUGCAGUGGGGAAGGUUAAGUGUAAUUAAACUUACAUUGGGCAACAUAAUUUUUCUGAAAUUAUCAAAGAAUUCACUGGGUUUUCUUCUUCAUUUGGUCUGUUUUCGUCCAUUUCAAAACUCUGGACGCCGAUGAACGGACAAUAAAAACAACCAGGGUUGUUUCUACACAUCAUCUAGCCGCAUUCUUUCGGCUCAAAAAAUUGGUGGCAGCAACCUUCUUCAAGGUCCGUGUGAACAAUUGUACGUGGCAAACAUCACGUCUACACUCUACAGUUUUUAAACAGUUGGACUCGAUACGAAAAAGCUCGAUAAAUAAAACCGAGAAAUGUUGAAGCUGCUGACUGAAGGAGAAAUGUACCUUGUUGGAAACGCGAUCUGCAAAGGUGCACAUUAAGAUUAGGUGAACUAAAGCAAACAAUAAAAAGGGCAGACUUGUUGCUAUGUCGGGUUCCAUGCCAAACAGGUAAAAGCUCGAAUUAAUGAUGGCAACAAAAUAAAAGGCCAUAAAAUAUCUUUGCUUCACUGCAAACACGAAACGUCUGACGUUUUCGUGUUGGCUGUUCAAUAGCUGAAUUUCGCUCCGCUCGAUUUCCGUCUGGAUCAGCUCAAAUGCAAGAGACGAAGCGUAGCAGUGAAUGACAAACGAAAGCCAAGCAGUCAUCGGAUAGAUGGCUGAUAAAGUCGAAAUGGAAUUGAUGAAGACACGGUGGUCAAAACAAGUUCUCGUGCUCAGUUCGUUAUACGUGACCAAAUAUAUAAUUCCAGACACCUGUAAUCAUUCAAGCUCUCACCACCAAGAUGAUGUAAACGAUUCCGAACGAAGACAUUAUGCGAAUUCGAUUGCAAUUGUUUGCUGCGAAAACGAGUUUCAUUCGAUUGAAACUUUCCAGCAGAUCGAUUGGUCGCAUGGCAGUCAGCAAGAUAAUACGUUUUUGUGCGGAAAAUCACGAGCCCCUCGGGCGGAUCAAGCGAGGCUUGCAUUCGUAAGGUGUGCAAGAAAUAGAAAAUGACGACCAGGCAAGUGAUUUGCACCAAAAAACAGAAAACUCUGUAUGCAAAUGUAAGCCAUCGAAAGGUCUUGCUGGAAAAAGUUGAAAUCUCUGCCAGUUCAACGCCAAGAAUCCGGCUCCAGAUUAACAAUGGGCGAAUGGUCCAUGCCCAGCAUCUUGUUGGAGAUGACUGGACGGGUGUCUCUUGUGAUGGCGGACUUUCUCGUGCGACCAUUAUGGUUUGACUAGAAAGGGGAAUUCAAGACAAAGAGAAACGGUUGCUAUGUUUCAUUCGUUUCUUCCCUUCAUUCAAAACCAAUCGGUGCAAUUCGGCGAUGGCGUCUUCGAGAAACUGAAUCAUCAAAAACAAUGACAACACUCUGCAAGGUUUAAAAAGAUAAAUUUAUUGCAGGCUGUUUUUUGAAGUUGUACAUUAGGACUUGAUAACGUGAGGCAGCUGUGAACGCCAUGUCACUUUCUCCGGUGCCAUUUUUGGAUUGCAUCCAUUAGCUACACUAUAACGCUCGGAAUAACAAGAAGUCGACUCAUGUCUAAUAGACGAACGCAAGUGUCCAACGCGAGCGCUGGAAAAUGUGCAGCAUAUCGAUCCCUCUCGCACGAAGGCAGUUUGACGUAACCGUAUGAGGAAUAGAAACUAGUCCUACAAGUGCCUCAGCAAGAUUUGCACUUGCAUAGCACGUGACAGGUGCGCUUAUAUCUGACAUGUUACGUGGAGAGAAACAACCACCUCUUUUCAGGAAUGCCAGCUGUUUAUAGCGCUUGCUAGAUACAGAUGAACCAUUAUGGUGACUUUGCAGGUAUGCUUGUACACAGAUACAAAAGAUGAGCACUGUAAUAAUUGUAAUCAGCUGGAUUGUGGUCGCUUGUGGAAACGAACGAGGACCAUCGCGGCCUGGCCAACAAAAACUAGGCAUUAGUGUGUUUCCGUAACAAAUAUUACUCUGACAGUGUGUGUGAAUCAGGUAAAAAUUUUCAAGUGCCUGGAAGAACCCACCUCGGUGAUUAUAGUGUGUGUGUUAACAGCAUUAAAUUGAUGUAGAGCAAAGUUUUUUCUCAGAAACUUCAAACUGGCAGAGGAUGAAGAAGUAAGUAAGGGAUGUUCCAAUCACCUACUCGAGAUCAGUUGUUUAAUCAAAAUCAAACUAUAUGUGAGAAACAAACUUACUUGUGGAAAAAGCUUCCUACUAACGUUGAAGUAACCGUUGGCGCUUAUCUGUGGGAUUGUGUGGGUCAUCUCCCAAACUAAUGUGUUCAUCUAGACACGAGAAAAAAAGAAAUUUUAUCUACUCUUUAGCGGUACUUAUGACAUUUGUUAUACCUGCUGCUUCUGUAAUCCUUUCAGUGGCUCGUCGCAUUUUAGGCUUAACAACUCUUUCAUUGCAUUGUCGGCCUGUUAUAAAGCAACAAAAUCUUCAUAUCUCAUUGGGAGGUAAAGCAAGUGACCGUUAAAUUAAAUAAAACAAAUAAAGAGAAAAUUAUAUCUGGCAAGGUUAUGUGGUUGUCCAGUCCAAACAAGUAAAAACUUGAAUUGAUGAUGGCCACAAAAUAAGACGUGGUAGCAAGAAGCAAGUAGCAGCCAAAACUAUCGUUAAUGCCAUCAACUGUUUCAUUGGCGAGAAUAUGUCUUUCUUUGAACGCAAGUAUUAAUUGGCUGCUGUCUUGUUCUCGGCCAUUCAUUAGCUGGAUCUCGUUGCGCUUUACUUCGGUCUGGAUCGAUUCGAAUGCAAGAGAAGAAGCGUAGCAAUGAGUUAAAAACAGAACUAAAGCAGUCAGUGGAUAAACGAUUGAUAUAGUCGCCAUGAAGCUGAUGAAGAUUCGUUGAAUGGAGGAAGUUCCCACUGCAAAGUGGUAACCCGUAGAGAUGGCGGUAAGUCCCAAAAUCUACAUACCAAAUGUAAUACUACGAGCAAAAUUAUGGCCACUACCCCCAAUGAGGACAUAUUGCGAAUUCGGAUGUAAUUUUCUUCGACAAAGACGCCCUCCAAACGCUGAAAAAUGUUUCUUAAACGAAUCCAUUUCGUACGGAUGAUGGUUAGCAAAAUAAUUUAGAUCCACCGGCUUGUUCAAGUGAACCCGGCUCCCAUUUAGUGAACAAAUAGCACAAAAGGUUAAUCUGUCCGGCUGCGUGUGACGAAAAACAGAGAAUGCCAUAAGCUAACAUUACCCACCGAUGGCAUAAACUGGAAAACGUUGAUACAUCAGGAAGAGAUACACCAAGAAAACGGAGCCAAAUGAUCAGAGGACGAAUACUCCAUGCCCAGCUGUUAAUCGUGGUCGAUUCUACUUCUAUCUCACGGGAGGACGAACUGACUGGGAUAGCCAUUACUGUCGGACUAACACAAAAAGUUGCAUUUAAUACAUUGAUGAAAUUUGGUUCUUCUCUUGGGUGUGGCAUUUGUGUAAACACACUGGAAUAUGCAGGAUGGCUGGGUACGUCAAACAAUCACCAUGCGACAGCCAGUAAAGUGUUGUGUUACGCAAUACUGGUAUCGAUUUAUCACUCUCUUGUUAAAAAUGGACAUCAAUAUCAUUAUUGAGUAUCAUUAUAUCAAUACCCUUGUCCCAAAUUUGGUUGUGUCUGCCUAUUUGGAGGUAUACAAAUGCUAACAAAAUGAACACAAAUGUAAAAAACUGGCGAGCAAAAACUUUUGAAACGUUUGUAAUGAAGUGUUAUCAGUUCCUAUAACAAAGUUAAUCUUUUUUUCACA